rnacentral:misc_RNA from 1 species
AAAUAUCAACCUUGACUUGGGUUUAGUGCUCUUGUCUUGGCUUGGAUUUGGCUGUUUGCCGCUCGAAAGAGUCGGCUCAGCUUAAAAGUAUUAGCUGGAUCUGUCUUUGAGACUUGGUUUGACUUGGCGUAAUAAGUUAUUUCGCUGAGGACAAUCUUCGGAUUGGCCGAGUUUCUGGGACGUUUGUCCGCUUUCUAAUACAAGUUCUAGCUUGCUAGACGUGACUUUUUUAUU